CUCUCUUUCUCUCUCUACUUUAUUUUCUGUUCACUUUUCUCUCUCUUCUUUUUUCUUAAUUUCCUUUUGUUUUUGCAGGUCACGUGAAUGCGCCUGGAAGCGAAGGUGCGGUAAUGGCUGCUGCCUUGUGCUGAAUAGAUAAAAGAAAAGAGGGAAAAACACAGUGUUUUGCUAAGAGUGAGAAAGUUGCCCUAGAUUUCUUCAUCCACAUUUAUGCGUUGAGAAAGUAAUGCGGUUCUCGAAUCCACAGUUGAUGUUUCAACUGUGAAUUGACGGCAACAGGGAUUCGUGAUCAGUCGCGGAUUUCAGAUCUGAAGCUAUCAAUGGCCUUAGGGUUUAGAAUGCAUGUUAUGUUGUUUACUAAAACGCCAACGACGAUUUUAAUUUUUACUGCGUUGGAGUAGAGAAGGUGUUUCUGAGAUUCCACAGAUGGCGGCCAUGAUUAUCUUUUUAGUAUUUGAAAAGGAGAAGUGCUGAGAAUUACAAGACUUGGCGUGCUUAUGCUUUCUUUGGAAUUGUAAUUUGGAACGAAAUAUGCAUCACCUUUUUUUUU